AGCUAUUCGAAUCCGUGCUGAGAUUUCCUCAGAUACUAAACCACAAAGGCUGAUGAAAUUUCCAAGGCGAGUGGAGUA
rnacentral:pre_miRNA from 1 species